AAAAACCUCACUCACAUUUAUGGGCGUGCAUAGAUGAUCAUUUAAUAUGAAUCAAUCCAUUUUUAUGAUUAUGAUUUACAAAGCAAACCACUUCUCACAUAAACCAAUUUAAAAUUCAGAACUGUUUUCGAACCGGUUUAAAACCGAUUUUAAAUGGGUUUUGAUUUUAAUCAAAAUUAUUUUAUUUAAUUUAAAUUUUAUUUUCUUUAAAUUAAUAUUAGUUUUUAAAUUUAAAAUCAUAAACAAAUUUUAUGAGGUUUUAAAACUUAAAAA
rnacentral:lncRNA from 1 species